rnacentral:rRNA from 1 species
AACGGGCUAGGUCAGAAUCAGCGAAGAAAGAAGAUCAUGUAAAGCUUGACGCUUGUAAAGUAGACAUGGGGGUGUAGGGCAGGUGGGAGACUGGGCCUAUAGCCGGCCUCGAGCGGGCCUCGAGCGGGCCCAGUAUUCUAGCGCUAAGCGCCCGGACGCCUCGCGACUUGUCGGGCGCGACCCGCUCCGCUCUGACGACAGCACCAGUCAGGGACGUUUGACUGGGGCAGUACGUCUGUCAAAAUGAUAACGUAGGUGUUCCAAGGCGAGCUCAGCGAGGAUGGAAAGCGCGCGUGGAGCAAGAGGACAAGAGGACAAGAGCUCGUUUGAUUUAGAUUUGCGGUAGGCUUAUAAAUAGACACAAUGAAAGCGUUACUAUCGACCUUUCUUUUUAGCUUCGAAGUUUGAAGCAAGAUAUCUAAACAAAAUGACCACAGGGAUAACUGGCUUGUGGCAGCCCAAGCAUACAUAGC